UACGUAGGUGGCAAGCGUUAUCCGGAAUUAUUGGGCGUAAAGCGCGCGCAGGCGGUUUCUUAAGUCUGAUGCGAAAGCCCACGGCUCAACCGUGGAGGGUCAUUGGAAACUGGGGAACUUGAGUGCAGAAGAGAAAAGCGGAAUUCCACGUGUAGCGGUGAAAUGCGUAGAGAUGUGGAGGAACACCAGUGGCGAAGGCGGCUUUUUGGUCUGUAACUGACGCUGAGGCGCGAAAGCGUGGGGAGCAAACAGG
rnacentral:rRNA from 1 species